rnacentral:rRNA from 1 species
GACGAACGCUGGCGGCGUGCUUAACACAUGCAAGUCGAACGGAAAGGCCCUGCUUUUGUGGGGUUCUCGAGUGGCGAACGGGUGAGUAACACGUGAGUAACCUGCCCUUGACUUUGGGAUAACUUCAGGAAACUGGGGCUAAUACCGGAUAGGAGCUCCUGCUGCAUGGUGGGGGUUGGAAAGUUUCGGCGGUUGGGGAUGGACUCGCGGCUUAUCAGCUUGUUGGUGGGGUAGUGGCUUACCAAGGCUUUGACGGGUAGCCGGCCUGAGAGGGUGACCGGCCACAUUGGGACUGAGAUACGGCCCAGAAUCCUACGGGAGGCAGCAGUGGGGAAUAUUGCACAAUGGGCGGAAGCCUGAUGCAGCAACGCCGCGUGCGGGAUGACGGCCUUCGGGUUGUAAACCGCUUUCGCCUGUGACGAAGCGUGAGUGACGGUAAUGGGUAAAGAAGCACCGGCUAACUACGUG